GGGGCCUACGGGAGGCAGCAGUGGGGGAUAUUGCACAAUGGAGGAAACUCUGAUGCAGCGACGCCGCGUGAGUGAAGAAGUAUUUCGGUAUGUAAAGCUCUAUCAGCAGGGAAGAAAGACCUCGUAAGAGGGGAUGACGGUACCUGAGUAAGAAGCCCCGGCUAACUACGUGCCAGCAGCCGCGGUA
rnacentral:rRNA from 1 species